AGUGAACGCUGGCGGUAGGCCUAACACAUGCAAGUCGAACGGCAGCACAGGAGAGCUUGCUCUCUGGGUGGCGAGUGGCGGACGGGUGAGGAAUACAUCGGAAUCUACUCUGUCGUGGGGGAUAACGUAGGGAAACUUACGCUAAUACCGCAUACGACCUACGGGUGAAAGCAGGGGACCUUCGGGCCUUGCGCGAUUGAAUGAGCCGAUGUCGGAUUAGCUAGUUGGCGGGGUAAAGGCCGACCAAGGCGACGAUCCGUAGCUGGUCUGAGAGGAUGGUGAGCCACACUGGAACCGAGACACGGUCCAGACUCCGACGGGAGGCGGCAGUGGGGAAUAUUGGACAAUAGGCGCAAGACUGAUCCAGCCAUACCGCGUGGGUGAAGAAGGCCUUCGGGUUGUAAAGCCCUUUUGUUGGGAAAGAAAUCCAGCUGGUUAGUACCCGGUUGGGAUGACGGUACCCAAAGAAUAAGCACCGGCUAACUUCGUGCCAGCCGCCGCAGUAA
rnacentral:rRNA from 1 species